GUGCUUGCUUCAGCAGGACGUAUACAGAAAUUGGAAUGAUACAGAGAGGAUUAGCAUGGCUCCUAAAUAAGGAUAACACAAAUUCAUGAAGUAUUCCAUAUUUUA